GACGAACGCUGGCGGCGUGCUUAACACAUGCAAGUCGAACGGUGAAGCGCCUUCCUUUUUGGUGGGAGUGGAUGAGCGGCGAACGGGUGAGUAACACGUGAGUAACCUGCCCCCUUUUUCUGGACAACCGCAUGAAAGUGUGGCUAAUACGGGAUAUUCUGGGCCUGUCGCAUGAUGGGUCUGGGACAGAUAUUGUUUCGGUGGGGGAUGGGCUCGCGCCGCAUUAGCUUGUUGGUGAGGUAAUGGCUUACCAAGGCGGUGAUGGGUAGCCGGCCUGAGAGGGUGAUCGGCCACAGUGGAAGUGAGACACGGGUCAGACUCCUAAGGGAGGCAGAAGUAGGGAACGUGCCGCAAUGGGCGAAAGACUGACGGAGCAACGCAGCGUGAGUGAUGAAGGUCGUCGGAUUGUAAAAAUGGGGUAUGAGGGAAGAACAAAUGUGUAAGUAAAUAUGCACGUCUUGACGGUAGCUAAUAAGAAAGCCACGGCUAACUACGUG
rnacentral:rRNA from 1 species